rnacentral:rRNA from 1 species
GACGAACGCUGGCGGCGUGCCUAACACAUGCAAGUCGAACGGAAAGGCCCUGCUUUUGUGGGGUGCUCGAGUGGCGAACGGGUGAGUAACACGUGAGUAACCUGCCCUUGACUUUGGGAUAACUUCAGGAAACUGGGGCUAAUACCGGAUAGGAGCUCCUGCUGCAUGGGGGGGGUUGGAAAGUUUCGGCGGUUGGGGAUGGACUCGCGGCUUAUCAGCUUGUUGGUGGGGUAGUGGCUUACCAAGGCUUUGACGGGUAGCCGGCCUGGGAGGGUGACCGGCCUCAUUGCGACUGCGGUACGGCCCAGUCUCGUACGUGAGGCAACGGGCGGGAGUAUUGCGCAGUGGGCCGGCGCCUGAUACGGCGGCGCCGCGUGCGUAAUGACGGCCUUCGGGUUAUGAACCGCUUUCGCCUGUGACGAAGCGCGAGUGACGGUACUGGGUAAAGAAGCACCGGCUAACUACGUG